rnacentral:rRNA from 1 species
ACGAACGCUGGCGGCGUGCUUCACACAUGCCAGUCGCACGGGAAGGCCCUGCUUUUGUGGGGUGCUCGAGUGGCGAACGGGUGAGUAACACGUGAGUAACCUGCCCUUGACUUUGGGAUAACUUCAGGAAACUGGGGCUAAUACCGGAUAGGAGCUCCUGCUGCAUGGUGGGGGUUGGAAAGUUUCGGCGGUUGGGGAUGGACUCGCGGCUUAUCAGCUUGUUGGUGGGGUAGUGGCUUACCAAGGCUUUGACGGGUAGCCGGCCUGAGAGGGUGACCGGCCACAUUGGGACUGAGAUACGGCCCAGACUCCUACGGGAGGCAGCAGUGGGGAAUAUUGCACAAUGGGCGGAAGCCUGAUGCAGCAACGCCGCGUGCGGGAUGACGGCCUUCGGGUUGUAAACCGCUUUCGCCUGUGACGAAGCGUGAGUGACGGUAAUGGGUAAAGAAGCACCGGCUAACUACGUG